rnacentral:tRNA from 1 species
GGGCCGCUAGCUCAGUCGGUAGAGCAGCUGACUCUUAAUCAGCGGGUCACAGGUUCGAGUCCUGUGCGGCCCACCA